rnacentral:lncRNA from 1 species
CUACAGGAAUUUCUUUCAAGCCCUGGACAACCUGCCAAACCUGCAAAAUCUGGACAUCUCCAGGCAUAUCCCAGAAUGCAUCCAAGUUCAGGCCAGCACCGUCAAGGCUCUGGGUCAGUGUGUGUCCCGACUGCCCAGCCUCACCAGGCUGGGGAUGCUCAGUUGGCUGCUGGAUGAAGAGGACAUGAAAGUGAUUAAUGACGUGAAGGAAAGACACCCUCAGUCCAAACGCCUGACUGUGCACUGGAGGUGGGUGGUGCCGUUCUCUCCUGUCAUUCAGAAGUGAAGGAUGCAGGGGCAGCCUACUGGCAGGUCUAAAACCCUGUUUUCAAAUACAUUUCACUCUAGACAGGCAUGGCGUAAUCCUAGUACUUAGACUGAGCAGGAGGGUCAAGAGUUUGGGUCCAGCCUGGGCUAUGUGACAAUACUUUAGACCCCAAUCAAAACCAAAUCGUUUACUAUUCAUAUACAAAAUAUUCUUGAACUGUAUCAGGCUGGUAACUAUUUGAGGCCUGCACGCCUACACCAAGCUAUGAUGCCUUGGCAGUCCUCGUAUGGUCCCUCUUGUACAAAGACUAGAGCUUCAGGCAAGUUCACACAGAGAACCCUCCAUUAUCCAGAUCAAUAGAAGGGGGCUGUGGAAAGAAACAUUGAUCUAUGUCAAGACUACAUUGUGGAAGGAAUGAUC